rnacentral:rRNA from 1 species
UACGUAGGGUGCGAGCGUUUAAUCGGAAUUACUGGGCGUAAAGCGUGCGCAGGCGGUUUUGUAAGCCAGGUGUGAAAUCCCCGGGCUCAACCUGGGAAUGGCAUUUGGGACUGCAAGGCUGGAGUGUGGCAGAGGAGACUGGAAUUCCUGGUGUAGCAGUGAAAUGCGUAGAUAUCAGGAGGAAUACCGAUGGCGAAGGCAGGUCUCUGGGCUGACACUGACGCUCAUGCACGAAAGCGUGGGGAGCAAACAGG